rnacentral:rRNA from 1 species
GACGAACGCUGGCGGCGUGCUUAACACAUGCAAGUCGAACGGAAAGGCCCUGCUUUUGUGGGGUGCUCGAGUGGCGAACGGGUGAGUAACACGUGAGUAACCUGCCCUUGACUUUGGGAUAACUUCAGGAAACUGGGGCUAAUACCGGAUAGGAGCUCCUGCUGCAUGGUGGGGGUUGGAAAGUUUCGGCGGUUGGGGAUGGACUCGCGGCUUAUCAGCUUGUUGGUGGGGUAGUGGCUUACCAAGGCUUUGACGGGUAGCCGGCCUGAGAGGGUGACCGGCCACAUUGGGACUGAGAUACGGACCAGACUCCUACGGGAGGCAGCAGUGGGGAAUAUUGCACAAUGGGCGGAAGCCUGAGGCAGCAACGCCGCGUGCGGGAUGACGUCCUUCGGGUGGUAAACCGAUUUCGCAUGUGACGAAGCGUGAGUGACGGUAAUGGGUAAAGAAGCACCGGCUAACUACGUG